AGUGAACGCUGGCGGUAGGCCUAACACAUGCAAGUCGAACGGCAGCACAGUAAGAGCUUGCUCUUACGGGUGGCGAGUGGCGGACGGGUGAGGAAUACAUCGGAAUCUACUUUUUCGUGGGGGAUAACGUAGGGAAACUUACGCUAAUACCGCAUACGACCUACGGGUGAAAGCAGGGGAUCUUCGGACCUUGCGCGAUUGAAUGAGCCGAUGUCGGAUUAGCUAGUUGGCGGGGUAAAGUCCCACCAAGGCGACGAUCCGUAGCUGGUCUGAGAGGAUGGUCGGCCACACUGGAACUGAGACACGGUCCAGACUCCUACGGGAGGCAGCAGUGGGGAAUAUUGGACAAUGGGCGCAAGCCUGAUCCAGCCAUACCGCGUGGGUGAAGAAGGCCUUCGGUUUGUAAAGCCCUUUUGUUGGGAAAGAAAAGCAGCAGGUUAAUACCCCGCUGUUCUGACGGUACCCAAAGAAUAAGCACCGGCUAACUUCGUG
rnacentral:rRNA from 1 species